CCUACGGUAUGCUGCAGUGGGGAAUAUUGGACAAUGGGGGGAACCCUGAUCCAGCGACGCCGCGUGAGUGAAGAAGUAUUUCGGUAUGUAAAGCUCUAUCAGCAGGGAAGAAAGAAAUGACGGUACCUGACUAAGAAGCCCCGGCUAACUACGUGCCAGCAGCCGCGGUAAUACGUAGGGGGCAAGCGUUAUCCGGAUUUACUGGGUGUAAAGGGAGCGUAGACGGCGAUGCAAGUCUGAAGUGAAAGGCGGGGGCCCAACCCCCGGACUGCUUUGGAAACUGUAUGGCUGGAGUGCAGGAGAGGUAAGUGGAAUUCCUAGUGUAGCGGUGAAAUGCGUAGAUAUUAGGAGGAACACCAGUGGCGAAGGCGGCUUACUGGACUGUAACUGACGUUGAGGCUCGAAAGCGUGGGGAGCAAACAGGAUUAGAUACCCUGGUAGUC
rnacentral:rRNA from 1 species